rnacentral:rRNA from 1 species
GACGAACGCUGGUGGCGUGCUUAACACAUGCAAGUCGAACGGGAUUUAGUAAACAGAAGCCUCGGUGGAAGAUUACUAAUGAGAGUGGCGAACGGGUGAGUAACGCGUGGGCAACCUGCCUAUGACAGUGGGAUAGCCUCGGGAAACCGGGAUUAAUACCGCAUAAAAUCGUAGAAACACAUGUUUUAACGGUCAAAGAUUUAUCGGUCAUAGAUGGGCUCGCGUCUGAUUAGCUAGUUGGUGAGAUAACAGCCCACCAAGGCGACGAUCAGUAGCCGGUCUGAGAGGAUGAACGGCCACAUUGGAACUGAGACACGGUCCAAACUCCUACGGGAGGCAGCAGUGGGGAAUAUUGCACAAUGGGGGAAACCCUGAUGCAGCGACGCCGCGUGAACGAAGAAGGUAUUCGUAUCGUAAAGUUCUGUCCUAUGGGAAGAUAAUGACAGUACCAUAGAAGAAAGCUCCGGCUAAAUACGUG